GCCGCGAAUUCGCCCUUAGGGUUUGAUCAUGGCUCAGAGUGAACGCUGGCGGUAGGCCUAACACAUGCAAGUCGAACGGCAGCACAGGAGAGCUUGCUCUCUGGGUGGCGAGUGGCGGACGGGUGAGGAAUACAUCGGAAUCUACUCUGUCGUGGGGGAUAACGUAGGGAAACUUACGCUAAUACCGCAUACGACCUACGGGUGAAAGCAGGGGACCUUCGGGCCUUGCGCGAUUGAAUGAGCCGAUGUCGGAUUAGCUAGUUGGCGGGGUAAAGGCCCACCAAGGCGACGAUCCGUAGCUGGUCUGAGAGGAUGAUCAGCCACACUGGAACUGAGACACGGUCCAGACCCCUACGGGAGGCAGCAGUGGGGAAUAUUGGACAAUGGGCGCAAGCCUGAUCCAGCCAUACCGCGUGGGUGAAGAAGGCCUUCGGGUUGUAAAGCCCUUUUGUUGGGAAAGAAAUCCAGCUGGCUAAUACCCGGUUGGGAUGACGGUACCCAAAGAAUAAGCACCGGC
rnacentral:rRNA from 1 species